AGUCAUGCAUAAAGGUUGCCCUCGACUUUGUCUCACCUGAAAAUGUUGGUGAGUGUGUCCGUAUGACUGAAGAAUUCCGUGUACUUCCUCAGAACCACAGAGCAAAGGAAGACAAAUUGGAGGUCAAGAAAAUGACAUACUAUGCAAUGAAGGAAGCCAUCAUUGAUUUGGAGAAUAGGUGAAUUGACUUUGCGUAAUGGGUUAAAUUUGUUGAUGACUUCAGAUUAUCGCUUUGAAAGUUUCAGGUGUACACAAAAGUUUUUUGUUGAUGGAAGUUCCAUCAUGGAAGUGGAUCUCUACAUGGUUGUGCUCGUUCAGAGUUGAACGACAGUUUUGUUGGCUUGUGAAGAUAUCCUUUUGAAUCUACUGUGUACUUGUGACACUAGAUAUUGAUAUUGCUGAUGCUAGUGAUAGAAAUUGUAUCAUGGUAAUUAUGAUUUCUGACUAAAUUUCUUUAGUCAAAUUCUAUGUGGGUGAUAUAUUGGCGUAACUUGUUCAGAACUGGUUUUUCUGACUGCAAAUGGAAUGGGGAUAAAAUUAUUGCAAUCUGAGAUA